rnacentral:rRNA from 1 species
UACGUAGGGUGCAAGCGUUGUCCGGAAUUAUUGGGCGUAAAGAGCUCGUAGGCGGUCUGUUGCGUCGGCUGUGAAAACCCGGGGCUCAACUCCGGGCCUGCAGCCGAUACGGGCAGACUAGAGUUCGGCAGGGGAGACUGGAAUUCCUGGUGUAGCGGUGAAAUGCGCAGAUAUCAGGAGGAACACCGGUGGCGAAGGCGGGUCUCUGGGCCGAGACUGACGCUGAGGAGCGAAAGCAUGGGGAGCGAACAGG